rnacentral:misc_RNA from 1 species
UAGAGACGUUGCCCUUCGGGGUAUACCUCCCACCCUUUGUUUAUUAUACCUUUGUUGCUUUGGCGGGCCCGUCCUCGGACCACCGGCUUCUGCUGGUCAGUGCCCGCCAGAGGACCUAAAACUCUGUUUGUUAAUAUUGUCUGAGUACUAUAUAAUAGUUA